UCCUUGAUGGCUUAGUGGUAAAGAACCCACCUGCCAAUGCAGGAGGCACAGGUUCAAUCCCUGGUCUGGGAA
rfam:Ovis aries breed Texel chromosome 2, whole genome shotgun sequence.